UAUAAUUGUCAGCUAAGUGGCGCACGGGUGAGUAAUGUAUAGAUAACCUGCCCUUAAGAAAGGAAUAACAGUUGGAAACGACUGCUAAUGCCCUAUAUGCCUUUAAUACAUAAGUAUGCAAGGGAAACGCUUUAGUGCUUAAGGAUGGGUCUGUAUGGUAUCAGCUUGUUGGUGAGGUAAUGGCUCACCAGGGCUAUGACGCCUAACUGGUUUGAGAGGAUGAUCAGUCACACUGGAACUGAGACACGGUCCAGACUCCUACGGGAGGCAGCAGUGGGGAAUAUUGCACAAUGGACGAAAGUCUGAUGCAGCAACGCCGCGUGGAGGAUGACACAUUUCGGUGCGUAAACUCCUUUUAUAUAGGAAGAUAAUGACGGUACUAUAUGAAUAAGCACCGGCUAACUCCGUGCCAGCAGCCGCGGUAAUACGGAGGGUGCAAGCGUUACUCGGAAUCACUGGGCGUAAAGAGCGUGUAGGCGGGUAUAUAAGUCAGAAGUGAAAUCCAAUAGCUCAACUAUUGAACUGCUUUUGAAACUGUAUACCUAGAAUGUGGGAGAGGUAGAUGGAAUUUCUGGUGUAGGGGUAAAAUCCGUAGAGAUCAGAAGGAAUACCGAUUGCGAAGGCGAUCUACUGGAACAUUAUUGACGCUGAGACGCGAAAGCGUGGGGAGCAAACAGGAUUAGAUACCCUGGUAGUCCACGCCCUAAACGAUGUACACUAGUUGUUGUGAGGCUCGACCUUGCAGUAAUGCAGUUAACACAUUAAGUGUACCGCCUGGGGAGUACGGUCGCAAGAUUAAAA
rnacentral:rRNA from 1 species